GCAGCAGAGGUGGUGGUGGUGGUGGUUGUUGAACGGCAGCCGCUGUUUGUUUUUGAUUACUUGGUUGGUCGGUUGGUUGGUUGGCUGUCUGGGGCUGGCUCUCUCCCAUUAUCUUUAAGCUAAUUUAGUUUAGUUUUCUAGUUCUAGUCGCACAUUAAACACUACAACGACGGUCGCUGGCUACUGUCUCCUCUCGUUCGUUCAUGUUUACUCGCCGCUUAGAAAAAGACUUGCACGUUUUUUUUUUCGUUCGCUCGUUAAAUUUUGCUCGGUCGUCGUACAUUUGCUCUCUGCCCUAGACGGCGGAUAAUAUUUUCUUCGACAUUUCUACGCCGCAUUACUAACGCAAGGGCUUUGGCGGCUUUAGUAUUCUCCCUGUUGUCGAAUACUGACCUUAAACCAAUUUUAAUGUGAUUUUAAAAC
rnacentral:sRNA from 1 species